rnacentral:ncRNA from 1 species
UUAAAUGUUAUGAAGGGGUAAAGUAGAUUUAAUUUGUCCCACAGCGAGCCAGGGGUGGUGUGAGCCUGGUGGGAACAGUUAAGUUGAAGUUCACCCCGGAACUGCAGGCUGAAUGCCCAUUGGUGGCUAGUAGGCCGGGCCGGAAUCUUUCACCGUUAAAAGGAAGGGGGUAUCGGAAGUGUUUUCCCGUACCCUGAUGAGUGGUUCCGGGUAAAUAUACGGAACAAAUAGGGUGGUACCGCGAGGCCAUAACAUCCCGUCCCUAAG